CCCCCUUUUUGAGACAACAAAUUCAAACUGAGGAGGUCUGAUUUACCUCUGGAGAGCUCAGUCCUAAUCUCAGGCUUCUUCAGUUUACAUGGAAGAGAGAAAAAAAGAAAAUACUUAAAAGCUAACAAAAGUUAUUGCAAAGCCACAACAAUUGGCAAAGGAUAAAGGCAGCUCUAGCAACUUUUAACUCAAUUUUGGAGUUGAAAGGAUUCCUGUGAAUUGUCUCUUUACAUCUCCUUGCCAUGCUGGGUGUGCAGUGACGUCUCUCCGCCUUUCAACAUGGAAAAUACAGUUCUAUGUAUACGUUCAGGCGUUUUAAAUCAUCCUCCCUGCCAAAAGCAGCAGGCACACCCCUCCCCUGCCCGGCAAGCCCUGUUCCUGCUGCUGCGCUGCCCACCGGCUUUUGCAGAGGGAAUGGGGCUGCGAAGGUGAGGCAGCUGCAGGGAAAAGCAGUCGGUUUGCACCCAGACCUGCAUGCAGGUCAUCAGGCAACUGCAGAGUCGUGCCAGCACAAAGGCAGGAGAGGGGCAAGGGCUGAUACGAGCAGCUGAGAGAGGACAGCUCCUGGAAAUGCUUUUAUAGCAGUAGUGGUGGGUUAUGCCAGCUUAAACUGUAUGUGAAACUUGAGACACGGAUAAUUUGGAGGUGGACACCUGCUCCGUAUUUUUCAGUCUUCCUUCAGGACUGGCUCAGAGUUCAGCUCAGGCUUAGUGCUGAGGUUCCUUUGGAGCACUUCUGUUCCUCUGGCUGCUAUGGCUUGCUCUGCUUUUAGUUUAACAAUUGGACAGAAAACAUGGUGGGGGGCAUGCCUGGUGUGUACUGGGAAGGUUGUGCACAUAUUGCUGUAGAAGUUAUAGCACUAGUGUAUGCUAGGGUUAAUCUAUCUAGUUUGAGCUGCAUUGGCAGUAACAAUAUGUCAGCAUUACUUUCACACCAUUUGUAUCAUCAGGUUUGUGACCUGGGAGAGGUGCAGGAGUGGCUCCCCUGAAACCCCUGUCUGCAUCCCUGUUUUUGCUUGCACUCUACAGACUGAAAUUCAUGCAGGUUGCUCAGUUGCAGGGAAUCCAGGGAGAGGCAGGUGCAAUUUCACCUCUGAGGACCACCAAGAUAAGAUGACAACAGAGAACAUUCAACAGCUGGUUUAAAGCAUUGUAUGCCAUUUUCUGUAUCAAAAUAAUUAGUUUUCAUUUACCUUUAUUGGAAAGUAAAGGCAGCCACUGGAAUAAUGAAAACUUCAUCCACCAGUGACAAGGAGUCAGUUUGAACUGAAAAGAAAAUAUUAGCUCCUCUUCGUUAUGUACUAUAGUAUCAGUAGCUUACAUUUUUUUGCUACUUGUUUAAUUCAGAGUACAUUAAUUAGAAACAAAUCUGUUGAAGAUCACAUCUUUUUCUCUUUGCAUUUAGAGAUUAAGGCUAGAAAGUGUCCCUAAUAAUAGACUGCCUCAGAAAAGCCCUUAUUCUAGGUAAAUCAGCUAGAUAAAUUAGCUGUAUCGUAUCAGUUCCUUUGCCAGUGUUCCCCAAAACGGUGCUCAACACCCCC